UACGUAGGGUGCGAGCGUUGUCCGGAAUUAUUGGGCGUAAAGAGCUCGUAGGCGGUCUGUCGCGUCGAUCGUGAAAACUUGGGGCUUAACCCUGAGCUUGCGGUCGAUACGGGCAUGACUGGAGUUCGGCAGGGGAGAACGGAAUUCCUGGUGUAGCGGUGAAAUGCGCAGAUAUCAGGAGGAACACCGGUGGCGAAAGCGACUCUCUGGACGGCAACUGACGCUGAGGCACGAAAGCGUGGGGAGCAAACAGG
rnacentral:rRNA from 1 species